GCUCUUGGGUUGUAAACCUCUUUUCUCAGGGAAGAAAAAAAUGACGGUACCUGAGGAAUAAGCAUCGGCUAACUCCGUGCCAGCAGCCGCGGUAAUACGGAGGAUGCAAGCGUUAUCCGGAAUGAUUGGGCGUAAAGGGUCCGCAGGUGGCUGUGUAAGUCUGCUGUUAAAUAGUCAUGCUCAACAUGAUCAAGGCAGUGGAAACUACAUAGCUAGAGUGCGUUCGGGGCAGAGGGAAUUCCUGGUGUAGCGGUGAAAUGCGUAGAUAUCAGGAAGAACACCGGUGGCGAAAGCGCUCUGCUAGGCCGCAACUGACACUGAGGGACGAAAGCUAGGGGAGCGAAUGGGAUUA
rnacentral:rRNA from 1 species